rnacentral:rRNA from 1 species
GAUGAACGCUGGCGGCGUGCCUAAUACAUGCAAGUCGAGCGAACGGACGAGAAGCUUGCUUCUCUGAUGUUAGCGGCGGACGGGUGAGUAACACGUGGAUAACCUACCUAUAAGACUGGGAUAACUUCGGGAAACCGGAGCUAAUACCGGAUAAUAUUUUGAACCGCAUGGUUCAAAAGUGAAAGACGGUCUUGCUGUCACUUAUAGAUGGAUCCGCGCUGCAUUAGCUAGUUGGUAAGGUAACGGCUUACCAAGGCAACGAUGCAUAGCCGACCUGAGAGGGUGAUCGGCCACACUGGAACUGAGACACGGUCCAGACUCCUACGGGAGGCAGCAGUAGGGAAUCUUCCGCAAUGGGCGAAAGCCUGACGGAGCAACGCCGCGUGAGUGAUGAAGGUCUUCGGAUCGUAAAACUCUGUUAUUAGGGAAGAACAUAUGUGUAAGUAACUGUGCACAUCUUGACGGUACCUAAUCAGAAAGCCACGGCUAACUACGUGCCAGCAGCCGCGGUAAUACGUAGGUGGCAAGCGUUAUCCGGAAUUAUUGGGCGUAAAGCGCGCGUAGGCGGUUUUUUAAGUCUGACGUGAAAGCCCACGGCUCAACCGUGGAGGGUCAUUGGAAACUGGAAAACUUGAGUGCAGAAGAGGAAAGUGGAAUUCCAUGUGUAGCGGUGAAAUGCGCAGAGAUAUGGAGGAACACCAGUGGCGAAGGCGACUUUCUGGUCUGUAACUGACGCUGAUGUGCGAAAGCGUGGGGAUCAAACAGGAUUAGAUACCCUGGUAGUCCACGCCGUAAACGAUGAGUGCUAAGUGUUAGGGGGUUUCCGCCCCUUAGUGCUGCAGCUAACGCAUUAAGCACUCCGCCUGGGGAGUACGACCGCAAGGUUGAAACUCAAAGGAAUUGACGGGGACCCGCACAAGCGGUGGAGCAUGUGGUUUAAUUCGAAGCAACGCGAAGAACCUUACCAAAUCUUGACAUCCUUUGACAACUCUAGAGAUAGAGCCUUCUCCUUCGGGGGACAAAGUGACAGGUGGUGCAUGGUUGUCGUCAGCUCGUGUCGUGAGAUGUUGGGUUAAGUCCCGCAACGAGCGCAACCCUUAAGCUUAGUUGCCAUCAUUAAGUUGGGCACUCUAAGUUGACUGCCGGUGACAAACCGGAGGAAGGUGGGGAUGACGUCAAAUCAUCAUGCCCCUUAUGAUUUGGGCUACACACGUGCUACAAUGGACAAUACAAAGGGCAGCGAAACCGCGAGGUCAAGCAAAUCCCAUAAAGUUGUUCUCAGUUCGGAUUGUAGUCUGCAACUCGACUACAUGAAGCUGGAAUCGCUAGUAAUCGUAGAUCAGCAUGCUACGGUGAAUACGUUCCCGGGUCU